CCAGACUCCUACGGGAGGCAGCAGUGGGGAAUAUUGGACAAUGGGGGGAACCCUGAUACAGCGACGCCGCGUGAGUGAAGAAGUAUUUCGGUAUGUAAAGCUCUAUCAGCAGGGAAGAAAGAAAUGACGGUACCUGACUAAGAAGCCCCGACUAACUACGUGCCAGCAGCCGCGGUAAUACGUAGGGGGCAAGCGUUAUCCGGAUCCACUGGGUGUAAAGGGAGCGUAGACGGCGACGCAAGUCUGGAGUGAAAGCCCGGGGCCCAACCCCGGGACUGCUCUGGAAACUGUACGGCUGGAGUGCAGGAGAGGUAAGUGGAAUUCCUAGUGUAGCGGUGAAAUGCGUAGAUAUUAGGAGGAACACCAGUGGCGAAGGCGGCUUACUGGACUGUAACUGACGUUGAGGCUUGAAAGCGUGGGGAGCAAACAGGAUUAGAUACCCCAGUA
rnacentral:rRNA from 1 species